rnacentral:RNase_P_RNA from 1 species
AAAAGUAAACGGGGCAGUCGCCGGCAGUUGAUGAAAAGAUAUGCUGCGGGAGGAAAGUCCGGACUCCACAGAGCAAAAAUAGCGGCUAACCGCCGCCGGGGGCGACCCUAGGGCCAGUGCAACAGAAAUAUACCGCCUUCGGGUAAGGAUGGAAAGGCGAGGUAAGAGCUCACCACCGGGUAUGGUAACAUGCUUGGUCUGUAAACCCUAUUUGGAGCAAUACCGUGGAAGCCAUUAUGCGUCUGCUCGGCGUGGCUUAGGAGGUAGCACCGAGUUUGCCGGCGACGGCAAACCAAGAUAGAUGACUGCAUUACAGAAUCCGGCUUAUUGUUUGGUUUUCGUC